CCCCCUUCUGGUUCUGCAGUGAGUAGGUACAUUGUUCCUCAGAGUGCUGAACUUUGAGAGCAAAGCAUUACAGAAAUGUAAAAAAAUCUUGAAGGCCAGGUGCGGUGUCUCAUGCCUGUAAUCCCAGCACUUUGGGAGGCUGAGAUGGAGUCUCGCUGUGUCACCAGGCUGGAGUACAGUAGUGUGAUCUCGGCCCGUUGCAACCUCCAUCUCCCAGGUUCAAGCAAUUCUCCUGCCUCAGCCUCCUGAGUAGCUGGGACUACAGAUAAUGAAAACAAGGCUCAAAAUAAAAACAAGAAAUCUUUAUGAAAUUACA
rnacentral:lncRNA from 1 species